rnacentral:lncRNA from 1 species
CAUCACCUGAUGAAUGAAUAAGUUUCAGGAUAUCCACCAAUGGAAUAUUAUUCAGCAAUAAAAAGGUUUGAUGUAAUGAUAGAUGCUAAAAACAUGGAUGAACCUUGGAAAUAUUUAAAGUAAAAUAAGACAGGUGUGAAAGACAUACAUUGUAUGAUUCCAUUCAUAUGCAAGUCCAGAGCAUGUAAAGCUAUAUAGAAAGUCAGUUCGUGGUUAUGUAGGCCUAGGAUGUAGAUCGGUGGGGGGCAGGGAGUGAUAGCUAAAGGACAAGGGGUUUUUUUUCUUCUUCAUUUUUUGAGAUGGAGUCUCACUCUGUCACCCAGGCUGGAGUGCAGCGGCACAAUCUUGGCUCACUGCAACCUCCGCCUCUCCGGUUCAAGCGAUUCUCCUGCUUCAGCCUCUCAUGUAGCUGGGAUCACAUGUGUGCCACCAUGCCCAGCUGAUUUUUGUAUUUUUAGUAGAGGCGGGGUUUCACCAUGUUGGCCAGGCUGGUCUCGAACUCUUCACCUCAAGUGAUUCACUCACCUCGGCCUCCCAAAGUGUUGGGAUUACAGGCGUGAGCCACUGCACCCAGCCUAGGGGUUUUCUUUUUGAGGUGAUAAAAAUGUUCUAAAGUUUAUAGUGAUGAUGCUUGCAAUUUCUAUAAGUAGACUUAAUGCAGUGAUGGUUGCAAAUUCUAUAAAUAUAUUUAAUGUGGUGAUGGUUGCAAAUUCUAUGAAAAACCCAAAUUGUACAAUUUCAAUGAGUGAAAGCAUGCUAUGUGAAUGUCUUCAUAAAGGUUUUAUUUAAAAAAUGAGCAAACGGUAGAAUGUUAACAUGGCCCACGUCUAUGUGGUGUCUAUAUUGGUUUCUAUUAUAUGUUUUCUAUGUGGUUGAAACAUUCCUAAUAAAAUGUGCAUAGUUUUUUAAAAAAGAAAACACAUCAGUGGACGUGAAUGCAGGAUGUCUUAUGAAUGCUCACACAGAAGCUCCCAUUCGUGAGGAAUGCAGGGAAAAGCAGAAGAUGGAGUAGGAGUUGGCAUGGCCCAGCUAGCUCAGAUGACACACGAUGGUCCCAGUGGCAUGACUUGGUUUGUGUGAUUUGUGCCUUGGGGUUUUAUUUUGGCACAUUAUAAAGGAGUAAAUAAAGCCUGUAUACAGUCAGUUUCUGUCUAUUCUAAUGAAGGGCAAGGGGAUGAAGGGAUUUACCUUGAGUAACCAUCCACUUACAUUUAUUAGGAAUCUUGUGAUCCUAUCGUCACCCGUGAGAUUUCUGUGUUGUUUGUGUUUAAUGUCAGAGAAUAUCUUUUAAUCGCUCAUACAGUUUAUGCAAAUACCGUAUACGUGAUAAACGUCCCUACAACAUGAUCUUUGGAAUGAACUAAGACAAAGGAAACUCUGAGGAAGGACCAUGGCCUGAGAGGUGGAAUUCAUCCUUCCGAGGACUGAGAUGAGGACGGAAAAUGAACCAUCGGGGGGAUUGACGGUGAAGAUGCUAAUACCUGCCCAGCAUCGACCCUAGUGCGGGUCCCAAGACCAUCCCCCUGUGCAGGCUCCACCACCGCUGUGCUAACUGGACCGCGGCAGAAGAGUGGGUGUGUGCCAGGUUUCUGCUGGGCCCUGCAGCUCCUCCCCCCAGCCCCAUGUGAUGUGCCCCUGGCCAUUGACACUCAGUUCGAGGGAAGGCACUGGGGUGUACACUCAAA